GUCUUCUUGAUUUAAUGAUUUGAAGUCGUAUCUGCCCAAUGAUUUAUUAAAUGGCCGCGGUAUUUUGACCGUGCAAAGGUAGCAUAAUAAAUUGUCUAUUAAAUGUGGACUUGAAUGAAAGAUUUGACGAGGUAAAUACUGUCUCUAUAAAAUUUUUAUUAGAAUUUAAAUUUUAAGUUAAAAUGCUUUAAAUUUAAUUGUAGGACGAGAAGACCCUAUAGAGUUUUAUGAUAAUUGUUUUAAUUUUUAUUAGUAUUUAUAUUUAUAUUAAUUCAAUAAGCAUUUUGUUGGGGUGACAGGAAGAUUAAAUUAACUCUUUUUAUUUAUAUACAUUGAUUUAUGAUUUAUUAAUUGAUCCAGUAUUUCUGAUUAUUAGAUUAAAUUACCUUAGGGAUAACAGCGUAAUGUUUUUUGAGAGUUCAUAUCGACAAUAAAGAUUGCGA
rnacentral:rRNA from 1 species